UUUGAUCGUGGUCAGAUUGAACGCUGGCGGGAUGUAAACUUUACACAUGCAAGUCGAACGGCAGCCUGGACUUCGGUCUGGUGGCGAGUGGCGAACGGGUGAGUAAUGUAUCGGAACGUGCCUAGUAGCGGGGGAUAACUACGCGAAAGCGUAGCUAAUACCACAUACGCCCUUCGGGGGAAAGCGGGGGACCUUCGGGCCUCGCACUAUUAGAGCGGCCGAUAUCGGAUAGCUAGUUGGUGGGGUAACGGCUCACCAAGGCGACGAUCCGUAGCUGGUUUGAGAGGACGACCAGCCACACUGGGACUGAGACACAGCCCAGACUCCUACGAGGCAGCAGUGGGGAAUUUUGGACAAUGGGGAAACCUGAUCCAGCCAUCCCGCGUGUGCGAUGAAGGCCUUCGGGUUGUAAAGCACUUUUGGCAGGAAAGAAACGGCGCAGGGAUAAUACCCCCGUGCAACUGACAGUACCUGCAGAAUAAGCACCGGCUAACUACGUGCCAGCAGCCGCGGUAAUACGUAGGGUGCAAGCGUUAAUCGGAAUUACUGGGCGUAAAGCGUGCGCAGGCGGUUCGGAAGAAAGAUGUGAAAUCAGGGAAGCGCUUUGGAACUGCAUUUUUAACUACCGAGCUAGAGUGUGUCAGAGGAGGUGGAAUUCCGCGUGUAGCAGUGAAAUGCGUAGAUAUGCGGAGGAACACCGAUGGCGAAGGCAGCCUCCUGGGAUAACACUGACGCUCAUGCACGAAAGCGUGGGGAGCAAACAGGAUUAGAUACCCUGGUAGUCCACGCCCUAAACGAUGUCAGCAGCUGUUGGGGCCUUCGGGCCUUGGUAGCGCAGCUAACGCGCGUGAAGUUGACCGCCUGGGGAAUACGGUCGCAAGAUUAAAACUCAAAGGAAUUGACGGGGACCCGCACAAGCGGUGGAUGAUGUGGAUUAAUUCGAUGCAACGCGAAAAACCUUACCUACCCUUGACAUGUCUGGAAUCGAAGAGAUUUGGGAGUGCUCGCAAGAGAACCGGAACACAGGUGCUGCAUGGCUGUCGUCAGCUCGUGUCGUGAGAUGUUGGGUUAAGUCCCGCAACGAGCGCAACCCUUGUCAUUAGUUGCUACGAAAGGGCACUCUAAUGAGACUGCCGAUGCCAAACCGGAGGAAGGUGGGGAUGACGUCAAGUCCUCAUGGCCCUUAUGGGUAGGGCUUCACACGUCAUACAAUGGUCGGGACAGAGGGUCGCCAACCCGCGAGGGGGGAGCCAAUCCCAGAAACCCGAUCGUAGUCCGGAUCGCAGUCUGCAACUCGACUGCGUGAAGUCGGAAUCGCUAGUAAUCGCGGAUCAGCAUGUCGCGGUGAAUACGUUCCCGGGUCUUGUACACACCGCCCGUCACACCAUGGGAAUUGGGUUUUACCAGAAGUAGUUAGCCUAACCGUAAGGAGGGCGAUUACCACGGUAGGAUUCAUGACUGGGGUGAAGUCAAUAACAAGGUAG
rnacentral:rRNA from 1 species